UGUCAAGAAGGCCUCAUGUUUCUUGGACCCAUCCUCCUCAUUUUCUCAUCCCAGGCUUCUCCGAGAUACUGUUUAUGCUGAGGAAUAAGCAUAUUCUGGCUUACUGUUCACAGUGGAGGGAGUUUCUCCCCUUCUAGAUAAGUUUUUAUCCCACCAGUGUUCUGCUUCCCCAGUAGAGACUGUGUUAAGAAAAGAGGCAAAUUUGCUUUCUCAGACUGCACAGAGCAUCUCAUUAUUUUGUGAAGCCCCAUGGCCACCUAUUUCUGAGACAUGGGGCAUGGCGGAAGCCAGAGUUAUUCUUGGCUGUAGAUUUUAUUCAUCCUUUUCCACCUUGAUUUCAAUGAAUGAGUUCAAGUCAGGACAGCAGGUUUUGUG
rnacentral:lncRNA from 1 species